UCUGAGCCCGCGCCUGUGAGGCGGAUGCGGCCCUUCCUGGAGCUGAACCGGAGCCAUCGGAGCCCCGGUGCAGGGCUGGAGGGGGAAAGCGCAGGCGAGGGAGUAAAAACACCAAAGCACCAGGGUGGUCCCGGCUUCUCACCUGGUGGGAGGCUGUCGAGAUCCUGACAGUCUACUCUGUCAUGCCUUUUACUUGACAAUUGGAGGAUACUGAAAAGCAAACAAGCAAACGCCCUUGAGGCCUGGCAAAGAGGAAGCACACUCGGUGCUACCCAUUGCACACAUACCACUGUAGGUGUAUCCAGGCAGCCCAGCUUUGGGGUCAUUGGUUCAAGCAACGAUCCCUUGGGACACAACCUAAUGUACCUGGGCACCAGGACAGAUACCACAAAUUCCUUCAUUGUUAUUGUUAUCAUGUUA